GCAUCGGUGGUUUAGUGGUAAAAUUAGCCGUUGCCAUCCAGCUUUCUACUCCAACAGUAAAGCAGCACAGUCUCGGCUAGCCCCGGGUUCAAUUCCCGGCCGAUGCA
rnacentral:tRNA from 1 species